rnacentral:rRNA from 1 species
UACGUAGGGACCAAGCGUUGUUCGGAUUCACUGGGCGUAAAGGGUGCGUAGGUGGUUGGGUAAGUUUGAUGUGAAAGCUCAGGGCUUAACCCUGAAAUGGCAUUGAAUACUACUUAACUGGAGGUUUGGAGGGGGGACUGGAAUUCUUGGUGUAGCAGUGAAAUGCGUUAGAUAUCAAGAGGAACACCAGUGGCGAAGGCGAGUCCCUGGACAACACCUGACACUGAGGCACGAAAGCUAGGGGAGCAAACAGG